UAGGGAAUCUUCGGCAAUGGACGAAAGUCUGACCGAGCAACGCCGCGUGAGUGAAGAAGGUUUUCGGAUCGUAAAACUCUGUUGUUAGAGAAGAACAAGGACGUUAGUAACUGAACGUCCCCUGACGGUAUCUAACCAGAAAGCCACGGCUAACUACGUGCCAGCAGCCGCGGUAAUACGUAGGUGGCAAGCGUUGUCCGGAUUUAUUGGGCGUAAAGCGAGCGCAGGCGGUUUCUUAAGCCUGAUGUGAAAGCCCCCGGCUCAACCGGGGAGGGUCAUUGGAAACUGGGAGACUUGAGUGCAGAAGAGGAGGGUGGAAUUCCAUGUGUAGCGGUGAAAUGCGUCGAUAUAUGGAGGAACACCAGUGGCGAAGGCGGCUCUCUCGUCUGUAACUGACGCUGAGGCUCGAAAGCGUGGGGGGCAAACAGG
rnacentral:rRNA from 1 species